CAUUCGGCAAAUGGGGCUACAUCAACAACACAAUUAAGAGUGGAGGACUCCAGUAACAAAACACAUAACACCAACAGCCCAACAAUUCAUUCUAGAACAUUGGAAGAAAUGCAAAACAAAGCUACACCAAGCGAAGAAGGCGCAACAGAACCGAACCCCUGGAAAACAGACAUGUUUGCCCACAUGAAUUUGGAACAGGUGGGCACAUUAAUAAAAUUUCAGAAACAAGUACAUAUCAUACAAGUUGAAACUAGUAAGAAGAAUAAAUCCGAAACAAAAUGCUAAGUAUCCAGGAGACUGAAGAUGUUCACCCCAGUUCAGCAGCAACAAAAACAAACUCAAACACUUGCCACAGCAAUGAAGAAAGAGAAAGGGGAGAAUCAGAGCACUCACACAAAUGCAAAUUCCGAAGAUGAUACUAAUGUAACGUCCUGGCGAGAGACUUUCCGAAGCUUACCCAUUAAACUAAAACCUAUAAAUUGCAGAGCUGAAGCAUGAAUAUUACACUAAAAAUUAGGGCGGAAAUUACACUAUAAAUACGGAAAUAAAAGCAAGGGGGCUUAGACUGUAAAUCUGGGAUAGCACUGCAUUAUUGGGAACAUUACACUGUAAAUACAUAGAAUAAGCAAGGCGUUUAUAAUGUAAAACUAGGGUUACACUGGAAUUCUUGGGAAGAUUACACUGUAAACAGGACAUAGUUCAUAACUGCACCACAACGACACUCGAACAAUCAACAAGAAUGAAAGCCAAAAUUUCAGGAAUUACAUAACCGAAUCAUACAAAAUUACACUGUAAAAAAUGGGACACAUUAUAACUCUGGGAUAACAUGUAAGCAGCAUGUGAAUUACACAGUAACUCUGGGGGUAAUUACACUGAAACUCUGGGACAAAUUACACAACAACUCUAAGGUAUAUUACACUGGAACUCUGGGGUAAUUACACAGUAACUCUGGGGUAAUCACAGUGUGUAAAACUCUAGGGUCAAGUACAUAUAAUAAGCAUGAGAAUUACACGGUAACUCUGGGGGGAAUUACACUGCAACUCAGGGAAAUUACACAGUAACUCUGGCCUAUAUUACACUGAAACUCUGGACAUAAUUACGCAGUAACUCUAGGAUAAUUACACUACAGAAACAUAAGUAAAAUACAGACUCAAUACAAAUAGAGUUACACUGCAAAUCCUGGUUGGUUCAAUCAACCAGGAGCAUUAGAAAAAUGAAAGAAUAGAGGAAUUGAAGUGCAAAGCACAUAAAAAUACAGAGAAAAGCGCACAAUUCAAUAGAUAAUCUAGAUAACCUACAUGAACUUCAGAAAA